rnacentral:rRNA from 1 species
GUGCCGAGCUUGGCUGACAUCGUCGUGAACAAGUACAAGCUCAGAGCCGACGUCCGGAGCGUGCACAUCUCCGGCAUGGGGUGCAGCGCCGGGGUGAUCUCCUUGGAGGUCGCGAGGAACCUCCUGCAGGCGGCGCCGCGUGGCGCGUGCGCCCUAAUGGUGUCCACAGAGUCCACCUCGCUCAUCAACUAUACGGGGAAGAACCGCGCGAUGCUGCUGCCCGCCGCCCUGUUCCACAUGGGCGCGGCCGCGGUGCUGCUGUCGACGUCCAGUUCCAAGUCCCGGUUCCGGCUCACGCACAUCAUGCGGACGGUCACCGCCGCGCAAGACAGAGUGUACCGGUGCGCGUACCAGGAGGAGGACGACGUGGGUGAAAUGGGAAUAAACCUGUCCAAGGAGCUCGUGGCCGUCGCCGGCGACACGCUUCAUACCAACAUCCUCGGAAUAGGGUCCCUGGUCCUCCCACCAUAGGAGAAGCUGCUCUUUGUGCUCUCGUUCGUUCGUAAGGUUUUCAACAAAAAGUUCAAGCUAUACGUCCCCGAUUUCCGCACAGCCUUCCAACAUUUUUGCAUCCAUUGUGGUGGCCGGGCGGUGAUCGACGCGGUGCAAACUAGCUUAUGCUUAUCGGAUGAGAAUAUUGAGCCAUCGCGGAUGACGCUUCACCGGUUCGGGAACACGUCGAGCAGUUCGUUAUGGUAUGAGCUUGCAUACAUCGAGGCGAAGAGAAGGAUGCGCAAGGGCGACCGGGUGUGGAUGGUCGGGUUUGGUUCUGGGUUCAAGUGCAACAGCGCCGUGUGGCAGUGCAUCACGUCGGCCAGCAACACAGAUAUUGGCACUCCGUGGGCUGAUUCUAUUCAUAUGUAUCCGCUCAACAUUUCCGAAGUGAGCUAA